GCCAUUGUUUAGGGUUAUCAUAUCUCCUCAAACAUGUGAACCGGCUACAUGACAAGAAACCACGUACAACCUCCUUUGAACACUAUAAAACUCGAGGACAAAUUUUGGAAAAUCAGAGAAGAGGAAAGGGAGAGAGAACUGGUUGCCCCAGGAACCUCUCCUCACCUCCCCUCACCUUUUCUCCACCACCACGUGCUGCCUGCCUGCAACGGGAGACUGAGACUCUGCCGGUCUGGAGAGAACUGAGACCACCGUGCCACAUGUGUGAGUUAUAUCUUAUCCUUCCAGCCUCACUAUAUUUCUGAGCACCAGGGAACUGUGGCUGAACUGGGACCCUGCACGGCCUUGGACACGGCUCAGUGUGAGCAAGGAAACCACACAUCCUGCAUUCCAGAGAACUAAAGCUGUUAAACCCCCUGCAGACCCUGGAGCUCAAGUGACUGCCCUGAAAAUUGAAGUUGCAUCUCCAUGUGGAAUCACUCCCUCCCGUAAAGGCAUAUUUGUUGUGGAUGCUUUUGGAAACAUACAACCCCAGGUAACAGCAAAGGUAACAGAAGGAGCGCCCAAAAAUCUUCCCUUACAAGAUGAGGUAACUUUACAUAGCACAGCUGAUUCUCCCCCUUCUGUGGUUCAAUUUGCACCCCCACACUCAGAGCAAUUGCAGAAUGUGUGGUUUACUGAUGCCUCAGCAAAGCAGGAAGGUAAAGUUUGGAAAUAUGCUGUAGCUUUACAGGUACAUACAGGCAACAAAAUAGUCCCCGAAGGAGAAGGCAGUGCACAGGCAGGAGAAUUAGUAGCAGUUUGGAGUGUAUUUAACCAUGAAGCUGAAACCUCUGACU